rnacentral:rRNA from 1 species
AGUGAACGCUGGCGGUAGGCCUAACACAUGCAAGUCGAACGGCAGCACAGUAAGAGCUUGCUCUUACGGGUGGCGAGUGGCGGACGGGUGGGGAAUACAUCGGAAUCUACUUUUUCGUGGGGGAUAACGUAGGGAAACUUACGCUAAUACCGCAUACGACCUAUGGGUGAAAGCAGGGGAUCUUCGGACCUUGCGCGAUUGAAUGAGCCGAUGUCGGAUUAGCUAGUUGGCGGGGUAAAGGCCCACCAAGGCGACGAUCCGUAGCUGGUCUGAGAGGAUGAUCAGCCACACUGGAACUGAGACACGGUCCAGACUCCUACGGGAGGCAGCAGUGGGGAAUAUUGGACAAUGGGCGCAAGCCUGAUCCAGCCAUACCGCGUGGGUGAAGAAGGCCUUCGGGUUGUAAAGCCCUUUUGUUGGGAAAGAAAAGCAGCAGGUUAAUACCCCGCUGUUCUGACGGUACCCAAAGAAUAAGCACCGGCUAACUUCGUG